rnacentral:rRNA from 1 species
AGAGUUUGAUCUUGGCUCAGGAUGAACGCUAGCUACAGGCUUAACACAUGCAAGUCGAGGGGCAGCAUGGGGUUUGCUUGCAAACCCCGAUGGCGACCGGCGCACGGGUGAGUAACGCGUAUCCAACCUACCCCUUAGUAGGGCAUAGCCCGUAGAAAUGCGGAUUAAUACCCUAUGUUCUUCGUUGAUGACAUCUGAGAUGAAGCAAAGGUUCACCGCUGAGGGAUGGGGAUGCGUCUGAUUAGGUAGUCGGCGGGGUAACGGCCCACCGAGCCUUCGAUCAGUAGGGGUUCUGAGAGGAAGGUCCCCCACAUUGGAACUGAGACACGGUCCAAACUCC